rnacentral:rRNA from 1 species
UCCUGACUGACCGAUAGUGAACCAGUACCGUGAGGGAAAGGCGAAAAGAACCCCGGCGAGGGGAGUGAAAAAGAACCUGAAACCGUGUACGUACAAGCAGUGGGAGCACGCUUAGGCGUGUGACUGCGUACCUUUUGUAUAAUGGGUCAGCGACUUAUAUUCUGUAGCAAGGUUAACCGAAUAGGGGAGCCGAAGGGAAACCGAGUCUUAACUGGGCGUUAAGUUGCAGGGUAUAGACCCGAAACCCGGUGAUCUAGCCAUGGGCAGGUUGAAGGUUGGGUAACACUAACUGGAGGACCGAACCGACUAAUGUUGAAAAAUUAGCGGAUGACUUGUGGCUGGGGGUGAAAGGCCAAUCAAACCGGGAGAUAGCUGGUUCUCCCCGAAAGCUAUUUAGGUAGCGCCUCGUGAAUUCAUCUCCGGGGGUAGAGCACUGUUUCGGCAAGGGGGUCAUCCCGACUUACCAACCCGAUGCAAACUGCGAAUACCGGAGAAUGUUAUCACGGGAGACACACGGCGGGUGCUAACGUCCGUCGUGAAGAGGGAAACAACCCAGACCGCCAGCUAAGGUCCCAAAGUCAUGGUUAAGUGGGAAACGAUGUGGGAAGGCCCAGACAGCCAGGAUGUUGGCUUAGAAGCAGCCAUCAUUUAAAGAAAGCGUAAUAGCUCACUGGUCGAGUCGGCCUGCGCGGAAGAUGUAACGGGGCUAAACCAUGCACCGAAGCUGCGGCAGCGACGCUUAUGCGUUGUUGGGUAGGGGAGCGUUCUGUAAGCCUGCGAAGGUGUGCUGUGAGGCAUGCUGGAGGUAUCAGAAGUGCGAAUGCUGACAUAAGUAACGAUAAAGCGGGUGAAAAGCCCGCUCGCCGGAAGACCAAGGGUUCCUGUCCAACGUUAAUCGGGGCAGGGUGAGUCGACCCCUAAGGCGAGGCCGAAAGGCGUAGUCGAUGGGAAACAGGUUAAUAUUCCUGUACUUGG